CCUACGGGUGGCUGCAGUAAGGAAUAUUGGUCAAUGGACGAAAGUCUGAACCAGCCAUCCCGCGUGCAGGAUGAAAGCCCUAUGGGUUGUAAACUGCUUUUAGCAGAGAAGAAAAGCUUUCAUUAAUGAGAGUCUGACGGUAUCUGCAGAAUAAGCACCGGCUAACUCCGUGCCAGCAGCCGCGGUAAUACGGAGGGUGCGGGCAUUAUCCGGUUUUAAUGGGGUUAAGGGGUAGUAAUAAGUAAGUGGAGAAAUCUUGUCGCUUAACGAUAAAAUUGCCAAGGAUACUGGUACUCUUGAAUUGGGUUGAGGUUAGCGGAAUGUGGCAUGUAGCGGUGAAAUGCAUAGAUAUGUCAUGGAACACCAAUUGCGAAGGCAGCUAACUGGGCCUUGAUUGACGCUGAGGCACGAAAGCGUGGGUAGCGAACAGGAUUAGAUACCCGUGUAGUC
rnacentral:rRNA from 1 species